rnacentral:rRNA from 1 species
AGAGUUUGAUCCUGGCUCAGGAUGAACGCUAGCGACAGGCCUAACACAUGCAAGUCGAGGGGCAGCGGGGAGGUAGCAAUACCUUUGCCGGCGACCGGCGCACGGGUGAGUAACACGUAUGCAAUCCACCUGUAACAGGGGGAUAACCCGGAGAAAUCCGGACUAAUACCCCAUAAUAUGGGCGCUCCGCAUGGAGAGUUCAUUAAAGAGAGCAAUUUUGGUUACAGACGAGCAUGCGCUCCAUUAGCCAGUUGGCGGGGUAACGGCCCACCAAAGCGACGAUGGAUAGGGGUUCUGAGAGGAAGGUCCCCCACAUUGGAACUGAGACACGGUCCAAACUCCUACGGGAGGCAGCAGUGAGGAAUAUUGGUCAAUGGGCGGAAGCCUGAACCAGCCAAGUCGCGUGAGGGAAUAAGGCCCUAAGGGUCGUAAACCUCUUUUGCCGGGGAGCAAUGGUUCGCUUGCGAGCGGACAGGGAGAGUACCCGGAGAAAAAGCAUCGGCUAACUCCGUGCCAGCAGCCGCGGUAAUACGGAGGAUGCGAGCGUUAUCCGGAUUUAUUGGGUUUAAAGGGUGCGUAGGCGGACCAUCAAGUCAGCGGUCAAAAGUCGGGGCUCAACCCCGUAAAGCCGUUGAAACUGGUGGUCUUGAGUGAGCGAGAAGCAGGCGGAAUGCGUGGUGUAGCGGUGAAAUGCAUAGAUAUCACGCAGAACCCCGAUUGCGAAGGCAGCCUGCCGGCGCUCAACUGACGCUGAGGCACGAAAGUGCGGGGAUCGAACAGGAUUAGAUACCCUGGUAGUCCGCACAGUAAACGAUGAAUGCUAGCUGUCCGGGUCGAAUGAGACCUGGGUGGCACAGCGAAAGCGUUAAGCAUUCCACCUGGGGAGUACGCCGGCAACGGUGAAACUCAAAGGAAUUGACGGGGGC